UACGUAGGGUGCGAGCGUUGCCCGGAUUUAUUGGGCGUAAAGGGCGCGUAGGCGGCUACGCACGUCCGUUGUGAAAUCCCUCAGCUUAACUGGGGAACUGCGUCUGAUACUGGAUGGCUUGAGUUUGGGAGAGGGAUGCGGAAUUCCAGGUGUAGCGGUGAAAUGCGUAGAUAUCUGGAGGAACACCGGUGGCGAAGGCGGCAUCCUGGACCAAUACUGACACUGAGGAGCGAAAGCCAGGGGAGCAAACGGG
rnacentral:rRNA from 1 species